GGCACUCCUGGGACCCACAGGAAUUCUUCCCCUUUAGGUCCCGGGGGAAGCGGCUGGGACCCUGCGGGAGGCGGGCGAAACCCCGCGGAGGAAGAGGGAAAUAUGGAUGCACACACAUGGGAAGAAUGCCAUCUGAAUACUGAGGCAGAGAUUGGAGUUAUCUUGUCUCAAGCCAAAGAAUGCCAAGAACUGCUGGCCAUCUGCAGAAGCUAGGAGAAAGGUUCAGAACAGUCUCCCUCUGAGCCCCUAAUGUUGCAGCAUCACAGAGUUCUCGUCGGAGUCGAAGAAUGAACCUUGCAGACACAAAAGGGUGACGUGAACAUUUAUUAAGUGAAGUGUUUGUAGCCACACUGAUGGAGCUGGAAGGAGCUGGGAGUUUUCUGAAGCAAGUGGCAUCAUCAGGUGGCGCCACAGGCUCAUGGAUGGGCCUUCCUCAGCUCCCGGGAUGGCCACCUUCUACGGGGGGAUGGUCGCAAGAAGAGAAGAAGGAGGCUUCGGCUUCAGCACUUUCCUUGGGAGUUCAUCAGGGCCGUCACUCAGCUGACAGGAGGUUGUGAUACUGGGUGAAGACAGAAAAAAGAGGAACCUGGACGUGGAGAGAGAGCUCCUUUCCAGAGUUCUCCUGAGUCAGGCUGUCACUCCAAUCGGUCCCGCCGGCUACGCAUCGAUGCUUCGGUAGAACAAUGGUCUAGACUCAAUGCCGAGUAAAAUCGUCAAGGGAGAAGCAGGAGUGCCGGGAGCUGGUGCCACAAAACACACAGACUACUGUACAGGUUGUGCAUGCAUGAGUUUCCCAAGGGAAUCCCAAGUCAGAAAGGCUACGUGGUAGGAAGUCCGAUAUAUGCGGUGCACGUCAUAGACAAGGCCUUACGGAUUUUACCAAAAGCUACAUGGAGUCAGCUGGGACAACAAAGGUAAGGUCAAAUGGAUUUUGAAGUUAUGCUAAAGAGAUGUCCGUGUAUUGGCUUUUUUUGAAUGUGUGAGCAUUCUUAUACAUGUGUCUUAGUGCACAUCUGUACAUAAUUCUGUUAGGUAUAUUCAUAGGAGUGCAAUUUUUGGAAAGUAGAUAUUCUCAUAUUUAAGCUUAGGAGGUAUUGCCAAAGCAGUGAUAUUUAUUUCCAUUCCCACCAGCAAUGCAUGAGAGUUGAAGUUGCUCCAACAUUUUGUAUUGUCAUAUCUCUUUUUAAAAUAUCACUUAGGGGCGCCUG